rnacentral:rRNA from 1 species
UACGUAGGGGGGCUAGCGUUGUCCGGAAUCAUUGGGCGUAAAGCGCGUGUAGGCGGUUCGGUAAGUCCGCUGUGAAAGUCGGGGGCUCAACCCUCGAAUGCCGGUGGAUACUGUCGGACUAGAGUGCGGAAGAGGCGAGUGGAAUUCCUGGUGUAGCGGUGAAAUGCGCAGAUAUCAGGAGGAACACCCAUUGCGAAGGCAGCUUCGUGGGACGUAACUGACGCUGAGACGCGAAAGCGUGGGGAGCAAACAGG